UGGAGGGGGGAGUAAACCAACGCAAAGCUGAAAUUAAACAGAAUGUGGAAAGAAAUCUUUUCAGAUAACCAGGGAGGGUAAGGACAAUCGAGCUGGGGGACAGUAACGAGAAAGGCAAAGAAGGAGAAAAAAAAAAAAAAAAUCCAGACUGAAGAGUGAGGCCAUGGAAGGAUGAGAAAUGUACUUUAAACAGAAAGGCAAAGAAAGAAAAAUGCGUCCGGAAAUCAAAAUUCAACAUGGGGGGAAAAUCAGGCUACAGGCAACGUGUUCCUGAAAGUGUCAAGAAAGAGAGAGAGAAAGAGAAAGAAAAAAAAAAAAAAGCCGCCGAACAAACUGGAAGAACAGAAAGUGAAGGGAGAAAGGAAAGGAGACAAAUUAAACCAGACAAGAAAUAGCGCUGAAACUUUGACAGUCUUAUCUGCACCUAUAAGGAUCUUAGGAGCUACAGAGACUCAACUGUGCUACAUAUUGUCCAAUUUCUCAAACAACACCUUAUGCUGCAUUUCAUAUUGCCAAAUUAAUCAGACUUGAAGCAUCGUCCUUACUCAGCCAGUGAUAUGGAAGCAUUUUCUCUACAAGAAUCCAGUUAAGUGUAUGCUUUUCUCUUAGAGCUCCGGAACCCAGAUUGUUCCUUUUUGACAUUUUCUACUGUCAAAUUACACACUACAAGUAUUUCAACUAUACAUUUAAAAUCUGCUAGUGACCUCCCAGUGUGGUUUCUUUAUUCAUGGAAAUUGGCACUCUUUCAAAAACUGUGAUGUUCAGAAAGCAGAAAGAUAUAGAUAUAUAGAUACACACACACACACACACACACAUAUGUAUAUACAGACAUAACAGAAGAUAAUUUAUGGGCUUUAGGAGAGAGAUGCUCUCCUUUAAGAAGGGUUUAGGACUAUAAUAGACAAAUGGUGACAACCAUAAUUAAGUGCAAAGUAGGAAAACAUUAUUUGCAACAGCAUGGUGCCUUUCAUGCCUCACUCUGUGAUUCAGUUGGACCAUUCACUUUAUAAUUACUUUCACUGCCCACUGUUUACUUUUGUAGACAACAGAUUUAGCUUCAUUGUCUUCAGAACUAUCAAUAUAACAUAGAUGCAUUCUCUUCAGCAGAGAUAAAUAGCAACACCCCUUUUGUGAACCUUGAAAUGAAUGCGUUUGGGGGCCUUUUUCAAAUACCCUGCAAAUUGUAGAAAGACACAAUAGAGGUGACUGUGGCAUGCAUUGACUACUUGUGAAUUUCAGUUAAAAUGCACUAGGAAUUCAUCUCAACUUUCAAAAAGCCUACCACAAUCAAAACUUAACAGUUUUUCAAUGACUGUGCUUUCUCUUGCUCAUUUAUUCACCCACAUAUAUUUUAGCCCUUAAAAAGAUUACUGUGACUUCACAUUUGCAGUAUUUUCCUUCUUUUUCCUUUUUUAAUUUAACUUUCUUUCAUUCUUAGCAUCACUUCCAAGGCUCGUGCAUUAUCACUCUCAUGGCUUACUAUCACCAAGAGCUUGUCUCCAUGUUAAUAAGUGUCUUCCACCAAAAUAAUGCAUCCAGCCUUACAUAGUUCUCUAGAUAUGACUGAACAGGUUACAAAUCUGUUUUCUGAAUCUUAAAUCCUUAAAGAGGCUUCUUACCUGAAAAAUCCAGCCAAGAGCAGAGUACUCUAUUAGUGUUCAUUGGAAAGCUCUAACACUUUCUAAAAUCCAUCUGUGCACAAUUGGAGAUUUUU